rnacentral:rRNA from 1 species
GGGCUGCAGUAUUUUGACUGUACAAAGGUAGCAUAAUCAAUAGUCUCUUAAUUAGUGACUUGUAUGAAAGAUUGGAUGAAAUAUAUUCUGUCUCUAAUUAAUUUAUAGAAAUUAAUUUUUUAGUAAAAAAGCUAAAAUAAUUUUAAAAGACGAGAAGACCCUAUAGAGUUUAAUAAUUUAUUUAAUUAUUAUUAAUAUAUAAUUUUUAAAAUUAAAAUUAAAUAAAUUAUUUUGUUGGGGUGACAGAAAAAUUAAAUUAACUUUUUUUAUUUAUUAACAUUAAUUUAUGAUUAGAUGAUCCAUUAAUAAUGAUUAAAAGAAAAAAUUACCUUAGGGAUAACAGCGUAAUUUUUUUUUUUAGUUCAAAUAGGAAAAAAAGUUUGCGACCUCGAUGUUGGAUUAA